ensembl:lncRNA
AUGGCGUCACGCCCACCGCGCCCGCCGCAGGCGGGUCUGGACGCGGUUGUUCACUUGCGCACGUUCGUUCCGCGCCCGCGCAGGAGCCGCCCCGUUGUAUCCGGGUGGCCCCGACUGCGGCCCCGACGCCUGUUACUGUCGGAGGCGACUUCGCCUCGAGCGCGCCGGGCGUUGGUACCGGUGUCUCCCUGCCCGGUUCUCCGUGGCCCAGAGAGCGUCUCCUGCAAGGACAGGGUUCACCUGCUAGAUCGGCCGGCCCAGGGAGAGAAGUGCCGGAAUGUUGCAGCUCUCGGCGAGGAAAUGUCCUUUCCCAGAGGGCGGCAGCACCCCGUGCGUCUGCAGCCGCCCUAUCUUAGUCUUAGUGGACCUGUCUUUGCAGAGGCUGUUAGGAGCAGUAUUUAGCCACGAUAGCAAGCCUUCGUGAGGAGAGUAUCUUCCACUCAUCUCUUUUAUUUCUUUUUUUUGCUAUUUUGCAGUUACGUAAUCAGAAUUCCUGUUUCAUCUCUAAUACAUUCCUAAUUACUUUAAUCCAGCUUUAUUUGUUCCUUCCUCUCAUAUCUUUUCAGCCAGUUAUAUCCCCUUUGAAUGUUUCAAUCUACACUGGUCUUGGUAUUCUUAAUUGAAUAAACAAAUUCAUUCUGGGCCUGGUGCAUUUCCUUCUGGUUUAUUUCUCUUCAAGAUUUAGAUCACUCUUCCGUGGAAUACUGAGAAACGAAUGUUACAGAGCCUGGACAGAAUGUCCAUUUGCCAUCUGUUACUUAACUAAAUAUAUCACUCUCUCAGUCCUUGUUUAGUGUGUCUGUGUAAUUUAAAUUAGGAACAAACCAAGGAGCCAUGGUCUUUCCGAAUGUACUUGGUAUCUUUGGUAACCCAGUAAAUGUUUACCAAUUAGAAAAUUGAACAAGCUAGGCAGUUUAGGUUUAAGUGUCUUUGACCUCGAAUCUUAAAGGAAUUAAUUAUGGGUAUGUUUAUUUUCAUUUAUGGAAAGUUUUAAAGCUGUUAUACCUUUAAAUGCUACUUGAAGGCUGCCAGCGACUUUGCAUAUGGGAUACUUUAAGCCUACAGAUAGCACAAGAAUAGUAAGUUAAGUACCCGUACAUAAUAUCUUUCUUGAAAAUACAUCAACAUGUUGGCCGGGCGCGGUGGCUCACGCCUGUAAUCCCAGCACUUUGGGAGGCCGAGGUGGGCGGAUCACAAGGUCAGGAGAUCGAGACCAUCCUGGCUAAUACGGUGAAACCCCGUCUCUACUAAAAACGCAAAAAAAUUAUCUGGGCUUGGUAAAGCAGGCGCCUGUAGUCCCAGCUACUAGGGAGGCUGAGGCAGGAGAAUGGCGUGAACAGGGGCGGUGGAGCUUGCAGUGAGCCGAGAUUGUGCCACUGCACUCCAGCCUGGGUGAUAGAGCGAGUCUCUGUCUCAAAAAAAAAAAAAAAAAAAAAAAAGAAAGAAAAAGAAAAGAAAAUAUAUCAACAUGUUAAACAACAUUUAAGUACAGAUGCUGCUUCUGGCUUUCUUGUCUUCCUAAAAAUUAGAAGGACUUUCUAUUCUUCACUAGGCCAAAUAAAUGUAUUAAAAAACAAAUACUUACUGAACAUCCCCGACUUGAAUUCCUAGAGGCACCUUAGACUCAGGCCGUCCAAGAUGUAGUUUGUCCUUUCCUCAAAGCGUGCUUCUUUUAUUCACCCAGACACAAGCCAGAAACUUAGGAUUCUUCACAGGCCCCAUUCUUUUUGUCCCUUCCAAUUAAUAACUAACCACCAAGUCCUGUUUAUUAUACCCCAGAAAUAUCCCUGUGCUCUCUCUUCUAUAUCUCCCUCUGCUUUUAGAGCAGUGUUUUCAACUUUGGCUGCAUAUUCUUAUGUCCACGUUGCACCCACCAAUUAAAUCAGAAUCACUGAGGGUGGUGCUCAGGCAUCAGUAGUUUUUAAAACUCCCCAAGUGUGCUGGGCACGGUGGCUCACACCUGUAGUCCUAGCACUUUGAGAAGCAGAAGUGGUUGGAUCACUUAAGUCCAGGAGUUCAAGACCAGCCUGAGCAAGAUGGCGAAAAUACAAAAAUUAGCCUGGCAUGGUGGCCCACGUCUGUAGUCCCAGCUACUCCAGGGGGCUGAGGCAGGAGGAUCAUCUCCAUAGCAUUAGGAGGUCAAGGCAGCAGUGAGACCUGGUCACACCACUGCCCUCCAGCCUGGGCGACAGAGUGAGACCCUGUCUCAAGAAAGAAUGAAAGAAGGGAAGGAGGGAGGGAGAGAAAGAAACUGGGCACAGUGGCUCAUGCCUGUAAUCUCAGCACUUUGGGAGGCUUAGGUGAAUGGAUCACUUAAGGCCAGGAGUUUGAUACCAGCUUGGACAACAUGAUGAAACCCCAUCUCUACAAAAAAAUAUAAAAAUUGGCGGGUCAUGGUGGCACACUCCUGUAAUCCCAGCUCCUCGGGAGCCUGAGGCAUGAGUUGCUUGAACCUGGGAGGCAGAGAUUGCAGCAAGCCGAAAUUGUGCUACUGCACUCCAGCCUGGGCAAUAGAGCAAGACUCCAUCUCUAACAAAACAAAACAACAACAACAAAAAUAAAAAAUAAAUAAAUAACCUCUUCCCAGGUAAUUCCAAUGCAUAACCAAGGUUGGAAACCACUGCUGGGGCCUCAUUAUUUCUCACUGCAGUACUGCAAAAGCCUAAUUGGCCCCAGGUGCCUUAUUUUUUGGCCAUAUUCUCUUUUAUUUCCCUCCUCUCUUCUGAUUCAUUUAACAUCAAUUCGAUAAACAUUUGAAUGCUUACUAUGUUGGGGAUGGGGUGUUUGCCGUUACAGGCACUGAGACUAUAGCAAUGAAAAAGCCUACAUAUCUGUUUGCAUGGUGCUUACAUUGGGGGAUGAGGAGUAAAGAAGGAAAAAUAAUGAAAAAGAAAUACACCUACCAGAGUAACAGAAACCAGAGAGGCUGUAACUUAGUUUGGUCUCUCAAACUGACGUCAAUUCUUCUGACAUUUGAGCUGGAUUCUAUAAGACAAGAAGAAGGCAAACUAGUUAGGAGGUGGGGAAGACAGAGGAACAGCAGAUGCAAAGGUCUUAGCCAGAAACACUUGUCAAAUCCAAGGCAGCUUGAGGCUGAACAUAGUAAAAGGGAGGGGAGUAUGACAUGGGCCGGGGGGCAGGUGGGUGGUCAGAAAAGUAGGAGGCAGCCAGAUUAUUUAAUACCUUUUUAGGCAUGGUAAGGAGAAUUCUAAAUGAUUGAUAUGAAGUGUAAUGAGACAAUAGAUGUUUAAGCAGCAUGACAUCUGAUCUGUCUUUGAAAAAGAUCACUCAGGCUGUUCUGUGGAUCAGAUUAAGGCAGAGCAAGAGUGGAAGCAGGGAGACCAGUUAAGAGGCUAUUCCAGGAAUCUAAUAAAGAUGUCAUAGUUCUUUGAACCAAGGUGGAGACUGUGGAGACAGAAGUGGAUGGUUUUGGUUUUGGUUUUAGAGGUAUAAUCAGUCAAACUUGCAUGGAAUGGAAUAAAAGUGGCAAGUAAAGAGAAAGAGAACUACUUUUUUUUUUUUUUUUUUUUUGAGACAGAGUCUUACUCCGUCACCCAGUGCUCAAUCUUGGCUCAUUGCAACCUCCACCUCCUGGGCUCAAGCAAUCUUCCCACCUCUGCCUCCCGAGUAGCUGGGACUUCAGGCACGUGCUACCAUGCCUGGCUAAUUUUUGUAUUUUUUGUAGAGACGAGGUUUUGCCAUGUUGCUCAGGUGGGUUUUGAACUCCUGGGCUUAAGUGAUCUGCCCACCUCAGCAUUCCAGAGUGCUGGGAUUGCAGGCAUGAGCCACGUGCCCAGCCAAGAACUACUCUUUAGUGAGUACAUACUAUAUAUACUAUAUAUAGUACACUAUAUGUACUCUUUAAAGAGUACAUAUAUUUAUUGAGUACAUAUACUAUAUAUACUCUUUAUUGAGUACAUAUACUGUAUGACAGGCACUAUUUUGAUUGCUUUGUAAGUAUUAAGCCACUUAGUUUAUCAUAAAGAGUCCCUAAAGCUCCCAUAUUAGGAUCUGAGGCACAAGAGUUUAAGUAAUUUGCUGAAAGUUACAUAGCCAAGUGGCAGAGCUGGGAUUUGAACCAUCCAGCGGGCUGGUUCCAGAGCUCAUGCUCUUCUCUUAACCCUACCUCUGGCCCCUUCGCUGGUGUCACAGUCCAAGUGAACAUUUCUUUAGCCACAGUAAGCUACUAGCACUACCACAAAUCCCCCCAUCCUUUCUUCUCUUCCUUCUCUUCUCUCUCUUACACACCCUGCUAACUUUCUUUCUCUUUGUAGGUACUACCUAGCUUUGCAGAUGCUGCUAUGCCUAAAAUGCCCCCUCCCCUCUCCUCUGCCUGGCUCAUUUCUAUCAACUCUCACUGGUCCUGACAGGCUAAAUCAAGCUCACGUUCCCUAGCUCCACAGCAACCAUGCUUACCUCUAUAAUUUUUCUGUAUAAAGCACUUCACUGUCAUUAUUUGUAGGCCUUUCCCACUAAACUUUGAAGGCAGAGAGCUUAAUGCCUGAUACCUAGUGAGAGAAGAAGGAAGCAGGCAAAGAAGCUUAGCUAUGCACAUGACAUGCCUUCCCUAGGUGUUGUGAGACACCAAUAUGGUAAAGUAUUGUCCCUCGCCUUGAGCAGCUUGUAAACUUGCCAGGGAAACUGACAUGGAGAAAAUCACUCUAGGCCAGUGUGGUGGCACACGCCUGUAAUCCCAGCACUUUGGGAGGCUGAGGCAGGCAGAUCAUUUGAGCCUAGGCAACAUGACAAAAGCCAUCUCUAGGAGUUUUGUCAUGUGCCCAAGCAUAGCAGCACACGCUUGUAGUCCCAGCUACUCAGGAGGCUAAGGUGAAAGGAUCACUUGAGCCUGGGAGGUGUAGGUUGCAGUGAGCCAAAAUCACACCACUGCACUCCAGCCUGGAUGACAGAGCAAGACUCUGUGUCCAAAUAUAUAUAAUCACUCUAACAUAAGAGCCAAUAAAGUACAUAUGAUAUAAACACAAGACAGGGUACCAUUA